UGCCGAUGAUGUGAUGAUUCUGCCAAAUGAAUUUUUGUGAUUAUAACCCUUACCGUUCCAUUUUAACUGAGGCU
ensembl:snoRNA small nucleolar RNA SNORD47